UCCUCGGUAGUAUAGUGGUUAGUAUUUCCGCCUGUCACGCGGGAGACCGGGGUUCAAUUCCCCGCCGAGGAG
rnacentral:tRNA from 1 species